rnacentral:tRNA from 1 species
GUUAGAGUCGCGGGUUUGGUCAACGCAUCGGAUUCAAAAUCCCCCUCAAGGUGUGCCGGUUCAAGUCCGGCCUCUGGUACCA